rnacentral:rRNA from 1 species
AGUGAACGCUGGCGGUAGGCCUAACACAUGCAAGUCGAACGGCAGCACAGUAAGAGCUUGCUCUUACGGGUGGCGAGUGGCGGACGGGUGAGGAAUACAUCGGAAUCUACUUUUUCGUGGGGGAUAACGUAGGGAAACUUACGCUAAUACCGCAUACGACCUACGGGUGAAAGCAGGGGAUCUUCGGACCUUGCGCGAUUGAAUGAGCCGAUGUCGGAUUAGCUAGUUGGCGGGGUAAAGGCCCACCAAGGCGACGAUCCGUAGCUGGUCUGGGAGGAUGAUCAGCCACACUGGAACUGAGACACGGUCCAGACUCCUACGGGAGGCAGCAGUGGGGAAUAUUGGACAAUGGGCGCAAGCCUGAUCCAGCCAUACCGCGUGGGUGAAGAAGGCCUUCGGGUUGUAAAGCCCUUUUUUUGGGAAAGAAAAGCAGCAGGUUAAUACCCCGCUGUUCUGACGGUACCCAAAGAAUAAGCACCGGCUAACUUCGUG